UACACGACCGUACCGCAAACCGACACUGGUGCGCGAGAUGAGUAUUCUAAGGCGCUUGAGAGAACUCAGGAGAAGGAACUCGGCAAAUUGACACCGUAACUUCGGAAGAAGGUGUGCCUUUAGUAGGUGAACCUGUACAAGGGGAGCCCAAUGAGGUUGCAAAAAAUCGGUGGCUGCGACUGUUUAAUAAAAACACAGCACUCUGCAAACACGAAAGUGGACGUAUAUGGUGUGACGCCUGCCCGGUGCUGGAAGAUUAAAUGAUGGGGUGCAAGCUCUUGAUUGAAGUCCCAGUAAACGGCGGCCGUAACCAUAACGGUCCUAAGGUAGCGAAAUUCCUUGUCGGGUAAGUUCCGACCUGCACGAAUGGCGUAACGAUGGCCACACUGUCUCCUCCUGAGACUCAGCGAAGUUGAAAUGUUUGUGAUGAUGCAAUCUCCCCGCGGAAAGACGGAAAGACCCCAUGAACCUUUACUGUAGCUUUGUAUUGGACUUUGAACAGAUCUGUGUAGGAUAGGUGGGAGGCUUUGAAGUGUGGUCGCUAGAUCGCAUGGAGCCAACGUUGAAAUACCACCCUGGUGUGUUUGAGGUUCUAACCUAGGCCCGUAAUCCGGGUCGGGGACAGUGCAUGGUAGGCAGUUUGACUGGGGCGGUCUCCUCCCAAAGCGUAACGGAGGAGUUCGAAGGUACGCUAGGUACGGUCGGACAUCGUGCUAAUAGUGCAAUGGCAUAAGCGUGCUUAACUGCGAGACUGACAAGUCGAGCAGAUGCGAAAGCAGGACAUAGUGAUCCGGUGGUUCUGUAUGGAAGGGCCAUCGCUCAACGGAUAAAAGGUACUCUGGGGAUAACAGGCUGAUACCGCCCAAGAGUUCAUAUCGACGGCGGUGUUUGGCACCUCGAUGUCGGCUCAUCUCAUCCUGGGGCUGUAGCCGGUCCCAAGGGUAUGGCUGUUCGCCAUUUAAAGAGGUACGUGAGCUGGGUUUAAAACGUCGUGAGACAGUUUGGUCCCUAUCUUCCGUGGGCGCUGCAGAUUUGAGGAAGCCUGCUCCUAGUACGAGAGGACCGGAGUGGACACACCUCUGGUGUAUCGGUUGUCACGCCAGUGGCAUUGCCGAGUAGCUAUGUGUGGAAGAGAUAACCGCUGAAAGCAUCUAAGCGGGAAACUCGUUUCAAGAUGAGAUCUGCCGGGGCCUUGAGCCCCCUAAAGAGUCGUUCAAGACCAGGACGUUGAUAGGUCGGGUGUGGAAGCGCAGUAAUGCGUUAAGCUAACCGAUACUAAUUGCUCGUGCGGCUUGAUC
rnacentral:rRNA from 1 species